UACGUAGGGUGCAAGCGUUGUUCGGAAUUACUGGGCGUAAAGCGCGCGUAGGCGGGUUUGAAAGUCGAUUGUGAAAUCCCUAGGCUUAACCUGGGAAUUGCAGUCGAAACUCCAAAUCUUGAAUGUCUGAGAGGAUGGCGGAAUAACCGGUGUAGUAGUGAAAUACGUAGAUAUCGGUUAGAACACCUGAGGCGAAGGCGGCUAUCUGGCGGUACAUUGACGCUAAGGCGCGAAAGCGUGGGGAGCAAACAGG
rnacentral:rRNA from 1 species